UACGUAGGGGGCAAGCGUUGUCCGGAAUCAUUGGGCGUAAAGAGCGCGUAGGCGGUCCGGUAAGUCGGUUGUGAAAACUGGGGGCUCAACCCUCAGAGGCCGACCGAUACUGCCGGGCUAGAGUCCGGAAGAGGCGAGUGGAAUUCCUGGUGUAGCGGUGAAAUGCGCAGAUAUCAGGAGGAACACCAAUGGCGAAGGCAGCUCGCUGGGACGGUACUGACGCUGAGGUGCGAAAGCGUGGGGAGCGAACAGG
rnacentral:rRNA from 1 species